ACUUUGUAAGAAUUAAGACUGGAGCGGGGGACCCAACUAAGGGGCGCAUUUCUAGGGAAUCUUAUCUAGAAAAGGACAUCUCUCAGUCCUAGCCCGUCAGCUAACCUCGUCAGCUAUUGAGAGGAGACUG
rnacentral:sRNA from 2 species